CUCCAAGUACGUUCCCUUUGUUUUAGCUUCUCGCUUCAAAACAUAUUCCUUUACUUUCUGUUUGGUUCCCACGAAAAUCCUGAAAAUCUUUGUCACAGAAUUGAAUUAUUGACUCUGAUAAUAAAACCCACCAAACGAACAAUUCGACAUUUCAAUUGCGUUGCGCAGCUUGCACUUCCCACUUUAUGCUAAACACUUCAAUUUCUUCCUUUUCGUAAAUUUUCUUUGAUUAAAUUGGGUUAUACGAUUCUUUCUUGGGUUUGAAUUUUUUGUGGGCUGGCGGUGUCUCUGUCAACGAUAGGAGGAAUAUAUCAGUCUCCUUCAAUGAGGAGGAAUAUAUCAAGAUUACAACACUAGGAAAGAAAUCCCUAGUUACAACAGGAACCGAUCAAGACCUAACUAGGAAAGAAAUCCCCAGUUACAAUAGGAACCCAUCAAGAUCUACAACACUAAUCUCUAGUUACAAUAGGAACCCAGGAAAAAGAAACACUUACAGAACUAGGAACAUCUUGAAAAAACCUAUAAAAUGAGGCUAAUUGAAGAGAGACUUCACCACCACAAUAAGGAGCAAUGGCAAACAACAACCUCACUUCUGCUUUCUCUUUUGCUCUCAUCCUCUGUGUUUCAGCUCUUUCACUAAUUCCACAUACCACCUCAUCAGCAUCCCCAUUCCAAUUCCCUCCAACCCAAUCCACAAUUCUCCCCGACCCUUCAAGCUUCUUCUCUGCAAACCUCCUCACCACCCCUCUCCCCACCAAUUCUUUUUUCCAGAACUUUGCUCUCAACAAUGGUGACAAACCUGAGUACUUCCACCCCUACAGCAUCAACUCCUCCUCAUCCUCUCUAUCUCUCUCCUACCCAUCUCUCUCCUACCCAUCUCUCUCCUCCACCUCUGCUUUCAUCUCCCAAACCUUUGUCUCUGAUCUCACCAUCUCUGCCUCCCAAACCAGCGCCAACUUAGCUACAACAAAUAACAGCAGCCGUGUAAUCUCUGCCUUCACUGAUCUCAGUGUCACCUUGGACUUUCCCUCCUCCAACCUUCGUUUCUUCCUCGCUCGAGGAAGCCCCUAUGUCACCUGCAAUGUGUCUAGCCCUACUGCAGUUUCUAUCUCAACCAUUCAUGCAAUCCUUGAAUCCUAUUCGAGCAACUCAAAGACCAAGUUCACCGUCCAGCUUGACAACAAUCAAACAUGGGUUAUGUACACCUCCUCCCCAACUAAUUUGACUAGAAGCAGCCCAUCAACCUUAACUUUUGAUGGCUAUUCUGGGAAUAUUCGGAUUGCAUUGGUGCCAAGUUCUGAUCCAAAAUACGCAGCAAUCCUUGACCGAUUUAGUUCUGCUUACCCUGUUUCUGGUGAAGCUGUGUUCACAAAGCCAUUCACUCUGGAAUAUAAAUGGGAAAAGUAUGGACGGGGAGAUUUGUUUAUGCUAGCUCAUCCUCUCCAUCUUCAGCUUCUGUCUAACGCUACUGUUUUGGAGGAUUUCAAGUACAAGAGCAUUGAUGGUGAUCUGGUUGGUAUCGUUGGCGAUAUGUGGGACUUGAAAUCCCAUAAUGUAUCAGUUACUUGGCACUCAAUUGGAGGUGUUAAACAAGCCUCAUAACCUGAAAUUGUUUCUGCGCUUCGUCGCGAUGUUAAGGCUCUUAGUUCGACGCCAAUAAAAACUGCUUCAUCUUACUUUUAUGGGAAAUUGGUUGCCAGAGCAGCAAGGUUGGCUUUAAUUGCUGAGGAGGUGAAUUGUCUUGAUGUGGUUCCAGCAAUUAGGAAAUACUUGGCGGAUGCCAUUGAGCCAUGGUUGGAUGGUACUUUUAGUGGGAAUGGUUUUCUGUAUGAUCCUAAAUGGGGUGGACUUGUCACCCAACAAGGAUCAACCGAUCGCGGUGCAGAUUUUGGGUUUGGAGUUUAUAAUGAUCACCAUUAUCAUCUUGGAUAUUUUGUUUAUGGUAUUUCAGUGCUUGCAAAGAUUGACCGUGCAUGGGGGAGCAAGUACAAGCCUCAAGCUUACUCUCUUGCAGCAGAUUUCAUCAACAUGGGCAACCAAUCGAAUUCAAACUUUCCUCGGUUGAGAUGCUUUGAUUUGUACAAACUACACUCAUGGGCUGGAGGACUGGCUGAAUUUGGAGAUGGAAGGGACCAAGAGAGCACAAGUGAGGCAGUGAAUGCUUACUACUCAGCUGCAUUGAUGGGCUUAGCUUAUGGAGACACCAAUCUUUUCAACAGUGGAUCAAUGCUUACAGCUCUGGAAAUUCAAGCAGCUCAAAUGUGGUGGCAUGUAAGAGAAAGAGAUACACUAUAUGAGGAAGAGUUCACAAAGGAAAAUAGGAUUGUGGGAAUUUUAUGGGCAAACAAGAGAGACAGUGGACUUUGGUUUGCUCCUCAAGAGGCAAAAGAAAUGAGGCUUGGAAUUCAGUUGCUGCCUAUAUCCCCAAUCACUGAGAUCUUGUUCUCUGAUGAUGGCUUUGCUAAGGAAAUUGUGGAAUGGGCAUUGCCAGCUUUGAGUAGAGAAGGAGUUGAGGAAGGAUGAGAGGGUUUUGUCUAUGCCUUGCAAGGGAUUUAUGAUAAGGAUGGUGCUUCGGAGAAGAUUAAGAGCUUGAAGGGUUUUGAUGAUGGAAACUCUCUCACUAAUCUCCUAUGGUGGAUUCAUAGCAGGAACUUAGGUUCACAGUAGGAUAUUUAAGUUAAGUUUUGUUGAUUAGUCUUGAGGUUCAUUCAUUUUUUUUGGUAGUUGGUAGCAUGCAUAUUAAACAAAUUUUUUGUAUGUAACUUAACUAAAUCAAUUAGAAGUUCAAUUUAUA